GACAGAGGGUGCAAACGUUGUUCGGAAUUACUGGGCGUAAAGCGUGUGUAGGCGGUCUGUUAAGUCUGGCGUGAAAGCUCUCGGCUAAACCGGGAGAGGUCGUUGGAUACUGGCAGACUAGAGGACGGUAGAGGCGUGUGGAAUUCCGGGUGUAGUGGUGAAAUGCGUAGAGAUCCGGAGGAACACCAGUGGCGAAGGCGACACGCUGGGCCGUACCUGACGCUAAAGCGCGACAGCAUGGGGAGCAAACGGG
rnacentral:rRNA from 1 species